rnacentral:misc_RNA from 1 species
GAAAUGCGAUAAGUAAUGUGAAUUGCAGAAUUCAGUGAAUCAUCGAACCUUUGAACGCACAUUGCGCCCGCCAGUAUUCUGGCGGGCAUGCCUGUUCGAGCGUCAUUUCAACCAUCAAGCCCCCCGGCUUGUGUUGGGGACCUGCGGCUGCCGCAGGCCCUGAAAAGCAGUGGCGGGCUCGCUGUCACACCGAGCGUAGUAGCAUACAUCUCGCUCUGGGCGUGCUGCGGGUUCCGGCCGUUAAACCACCUUCGUAACCCAAGGUUGACCUCGGAUCAGGUAGGAAGACCCGCUGAACUUAAGC